UUGGAAGUGAAUGUUGAUUCCAUUAUUCCUCUAAAGUGUAUAAAACUUGAAAAGAAUUUACAUAAAGAUUAUUACAUAUCCAUACCAUAUGCAGUUCCAAAAACAAAGAGGAUUUUCCUGAUAGAUUCCGAAUGUUACUAUCAAAGAUGCUUGAAAUAUAGAGUUGAGGUUCAAAAUUAUAUAUGGUCGGGGUUCAGUGAAGAAAUUCAUGUUGAAUUAUUUAAAGAUCUUAACAUUGAUGACAGCUUUGACAUAAAAUCAUUCUCUAUUCCACUCUUGCCUGGAAGUUCGCUGGUGAUUGAAAGACAACAAAAUAGAGCAGCUAAAGACAGGGAUUAUGUGAAUGAAUUUCAAGAAGAACUGUAUGUUAAUACCAGAAAACGCAACCAGCCAAGAAAACUGUUACAACCACUACAAUCCAGGCAAUUUG